UACGAAGGGGGCUAGCGUUGCUCGGAAUCACUGGGCGUAAAGGGUGCGUAGGCGGGUUGUUAAGUCAGGGGUGAAAUCCUGGAGCUCAACUCCAGAACUGCCUUGAUACUGGCAACCUAGAGACUGGAAGAGGUUAGUGGAAUUCCCAGUGUAGAGGUGAAAUUCGUAGAUAUUGGGAAGAACACCAGUGGCGAAGGCGGCUAACUGGUCCAGCACUGACGCUGAGGUGCGAAAGCGUGGGGAGCAAACAGG
rnacentral:rRNA from 1 species